GUUUUUCUGAAAUGAAAAGGUUUUAUAACAAAAAUAUUACUACAGAAUUUUAGUUUUGCAAGCCAUGGAUCCCCGUUUUUCCCCAUGAGGUGUUGCGUUCCGCAUUCACAAAUUCACCGUUCGCAGAGAGCUGAAGGAGUCUGAUCCUCGCGAAUACUGAGGCGUUUACUGUGUUCGACGUUAACUGAACCGUUGCCACGGAGGCUGUUAAUUGACUGGUGGCUGUUCAAAUUUCUGCAGGCUCAGCACUCUUCAUUUCCUCUCCAGUCCAGCCCGUGCUGCAGAGCAUGGUGGUCCCAGUGUCGGUUGUUGGGCAGAGCACGUCAGGCUCUUUCAGUGUGGCCCACAGUCAGAUGCCGUUAUCCGUCCGGCCUGCAGUAAACUGCGCAUUUAAGGUCAAACUGAAACCUAAACUGGCCCCCAAAGCCAGCACUGACAUAGGUAAAUCUGGACCACCUGUGUCAGAUCAGGGCACAGAUGCCACUGGUUUGCAAAAACAAAAUCCUGUGCCACUGCAGCCGAGGCUCAAGCCAGCUGGGCCUUCCCAGCAUGCAGCAGCUACAGAGGUUCCCUCUUCUUCACCUCCUCCAGCGUCGGGAUCCAAUCCCAUGAGCGGGCAGAGCCACAGGAGGGUCCUGUGCUUUGAUCUCACAGCACCCGAGCGGUGCCUCGGCACCACACCUGCCCCGGUCCAGACCAGGAGUUCUGGGGACACUUCAGCAUCCAUGGAAGCACCUGUGGUAGUCACGCCAACAGUGUUCACGGCUGCCUCCUCCUCUGCUGAGCAGCCCAAGACGAAAGGCCCCAGCUGUAAGCCGUGUGACAGCGUUCAGCCUCAAGCCGUCGGGACCGGAGCAGCUGCAGUCAGCAGGGAUGGUGCUGCACCGAGGCCCGAUGCCACAACGUGCUCGGAUAGAGGGAACACCUCGGCUCCCAUGAAGGAGUUGGAGAGAAGCAGACCCCCCUUAUCCACUGAUUCCAGCAAAGGUGCUCCAUUGCAGACUGAAUCUGAGCACAGGCAGAACCCUCAUGGCUCCAGCGGGGACGAAGCUGCAGCGAAGCAAGAGUCCUCCGGGAGGAGUCUGGAUUCUAGAAAUAAAUCUCAGACGUCGGACAACAAAGAGGAACAAGGAGGUACCGAGUCAAAGAGGGAUUCUGCCCACAGCGGCAAGGCUGCAGCCGCCGACCCCAGGCUGAAGUCGAACGUUUCGGGGACCAGAAAGGAAGCUGAUCAGGGCGCAAGGGGGAGGGAGGGGCUGGCGGAGACGAGGGGCUCCUCGCAGGACACCGCGCACGUUGCAGCCGAUAAGGAGAACAAGCUGGAGGGGAGGAAUCAGGAGCGGCAGCCAGCCGCUGCUCUGCCGCCAGGUGAGCCCGCUGGGGCUCAUGCCUCCCAGCUCAACAGUAUCCGACACCCUAACAAGACCAGCCCCCUCACUAAGCAGGCAGCGGAGAUGCUGCAGGACAUCCAGGGGCACAUCCCUACUGCCACGCCCUCCAAGAGCCCCGAGCUGCCUCUCCCCAGGACCCCAGGGUCCGGCCGCCACCCUGAAGAGCCUCUGGACUGCCUGAGGACCCCUGUCCGCCCGCGGCAGGGGCGGGACGGAGACGGCACGCCCCGGCACCUCCC
rnacentral:lncRNA from 1 species